rnacentral:rRNA from 1 species
UACGUAGGGCGCAAGCGUUGUCCGGAAUUAUUGGGCGUAAAGAGCUCGUAGGCGGUCAGUCGCGUCUGCUGUGAAAACUCGAGGCUCAACCUCGGGCUUGCAGUGGGUACGGGCAGACUAGAAUUCGGUAGGGGAGACUGGAAUUCCUGGUGUAGCGGUGAAAUGCGCAGAUAUCAGGAGGAACACCGGUGGCGAAGGCGGGUCUCUGGGCCGAUAUUGACGCUGAGGAGCGAAAGCGUGGGAGCAAACAGG